rnacentral:rRNA from 1 species
ACUGUAGACGUGCCAUUGAUACUGUUAGUCUUGAGUAUGGUCAAGGUAGGCGGAAUGUGUAAUGUAGCGGUGAAAUGCUUAGAUAUUACACAGAACACCGAUUGCGAAGGCAGCUUACUGGACCAUUACUGACGCUGAUGCACGAAAGCGUGGGGAGCGAACAGGAUUAGAUACCCUGGUAGUCCACGCCGUAAACGAUGAUCACUCGCUGUUGGCGAUACACAGUCAGCGGCUAAGCAAAAGCAUUAAGUGAUCCACCUGGGGAGUACGGCCGCAAGGCUGAAACUCAAAGGAAUUGACGGGGGCCCGCACAAGCGGAGGAACAUGUGGUUUAAUUCGAUGAUACGCGAGGAACCUUACCUGGGCUUAAAUGUAGACUGCAUUAGUGGGAAACCAUUAUUUUCUUCGGAACUGUUUACAAGGUGCUG